GAUGAACGCUAGCGGCAGGCUUAACACAUGCAAGUCGAACGGUAACAGAAAAAGCUUGCUUUUUGCUGACGAGUGGCGAACGGGUGCGUAACGCGUAUGCAACCUACCUUCUUCUAAGGAAUAGCCCAGAGAAAUUUGGAUUAAUACCUUAUGACAAUAUUUAUUCGCAUGUUUAAAUAUUUAAAAACUCCGGUGGAAGAAGAUGGGCAUGCGUAACAUUAGUUUGUUGGUGAGGUAAUGGCUCACCAAGACUACGAUGUUUAGGGGUUCUGAGAGGAUGAUCCCCCACACUGGUACUGAGACACGGACCAGACUCCUACGGGAGGCAGCAGUGAGGAAUAUUGGUCAAUGGACGAAAGUCUGAACCAGCCAUGCCGCGUGAAGGAUGACGGCCCUACGGGUUGUAAACUUCUUUUGUAUAGGAAGAAACCCCUCUACGUGUAGAGGGCUGACGGUACUAUUCGAAUAAGCACCGGCUAACUCCGUG
rnacentral:rRNA from 1 species